GCGGACCUGGUAUAUUGGGAGUGCCAUGCGCUGCCCGCGCAUUGAUAGCGGUUCGAUUCCGCUGGUCCGCGCCA
rnacentral:tRNA from 2 species